rnacentral:lncRNA from 1 species
GAGACGCGCUCUUUGUAGCUGAAGUGACCCAGCUCCAGGUACACCGGCCCCAACUCUCAAAUUCACUUAAGAAAGAGUACGAAGGCCACACAAGUUUAUUGCAAGAACUGGACAAGAAGAAACCGUAUAGCCGUAACCCGGCCAGCUGUUAUUAUCCAGUAUUUAACAUCGCUCAGGCGGCCCACUGUCUGGAGCCCCGGGAGAGGAGACGCUCCUGUCAGGACAGCCGGCCGGAGAGACGGUGGGUCCCGGAACCGCGAGAGAUCAACCGGCCGCAAGCUGAACGAGUCCGGCGAACAACCAGGGCGAUGUCACUGUAUUCGGGUGUCUGAAAGUCCUCAGCCGUUAUAUACAUUAUAAACGAUUUGGAGCCGGGCCCGCCCCCAGAGUGACCUUCCUCAGCGGACACGCCCCGUCCACCUGUUCCACAGGUGCGCCCGGCAAGAUGGCGGCGGGGUGAGGUUCUGCGGUGUUAGGUGCGUUUGCGUUUUCCUUCUAAUUUUCUUAUUUUAAAUACAAAAACUCAAAUUUUACUUAGAGGAAAGUUAGACAAAAAAUGUUUUGUUGUUGCAACUUUUGUUAAUUGCAUUUGUUCCUGUUUAAUUUGUGUUUUAGGACGCCGAAAUGAGUGUUCUGUUUGAGCGUGCUCUCGACGUUUUAGAAGUCAUGUAAGUAUGUUUUUAUAAGAUAAGGUUUGUUUCUUUCAACGAAUAAAGGCUGAAGUUAACCUUCAAACAUUUGCUUUCUAAAGUCAGUAGCUGUGAAAUCUCCGCUUUUCAGAUCCGGGCUAUAAAAACGCUUUCCGCUCAGAAAAUGAUAAAACAUUGUAAAGAUUUAAUUGUCUAAUUCGUAUGUUUUUUUUUUCUUUUGGUGACAAAAGGAUUUCAAGAACGGGUCUCCAAUUAUGAAAACUGUUUUUUUCCAGGGCAAGUUCUAUUACUCCCUUGCACUAUACUGUUUAUAUUUGUGCAACACGUAUUUCCCAACGUUUUAACACCAGAACAGGUUUAUACUAACUAUAUAACUUUUGCUCUUUUCAUUGUGCUUUUGUUGAAUAGAAAUUGAACCUCUAAGGCCGCUGGUUCUUUUAUUCAUCUAUUGAAUCCAUUGGGUAAAGAUGGAUAAUACCGACAUAUUUGCACGAUGGUUUUCAAUGCGUGGAGUUAAAUCGAAUAUGAUAAACGCUAUAAGUGGUACUUUCUUUAUACAGGCAGCAAAAAAAAGUGAAUAGACCUCAGAUCGUCAACUGAAUCGAUUCUGCAAAUCCGAUAUCUUGUUAACUUGAUUCUUUUUUUUGUUUGCCUUCAGUUCUGCGGCUCCUGGUUAUCUGGUUCUCCUUUCCAGCUCCACUCCAGCAACUCGACGAGCGUUGGCAAGUUAUUCUUGACAAUGUGUGCUUUUCCUGUAAUUUUGUUUCUGAUAUCCGUGGCUUGAUCUGUUGUGUACCCUUUGUAUACCGUUUUGCCUUUUUCUUAACCUGCAUGUUUACUGUUGACUGCUGCUACUGUAUUUGCUGUGCAUUAUGCAAUAAGAACUCGUUAAUUUCACAGGUGCGCCUGGCAAGAUGGCGGCGGGGCGAGUGUCUGCGGCGUUAGGUGCGUUUGCGUUUUAAUUCUGAUUUUCUUAUUUUAAAUGCAGAAAAACUCCAAUUUCACUUUGAGAAAAGUUAGACAAAUGUUUUGUUGUUGCAGCUUUUGUUAAUUUCAUGUUUUUUUUUGUUUAAUUUGUGUUUUACGACGCCGAAAUGAAUGUCCUCUCUGAGCGUGCUCUCAAAGUUUUAGAAGUCUGCAUUCAGCGUUCUUAAGUAGUUUCUUAAGUAGUUUUUAAAGACAUGCUAUAUCUAGCUCUGUUUCCUUUAAAGAAAAAAACUAAUUUAUCUUAAGUCAUUUGCUGUAUAAAGUUUUUAACAGUGUAUCUCUGGUUUUUAAAAUCUGGUUAUAAUAUCGCUUUCCGUUCCGAUACGAUAAUCGUUUGCAAAUAUUAAAUGUAUUAAUUCGUAUAUUUCUUAUUUCUCCAGGUGACAAAGGGAUUUCAAAAACGGGCCACAAGUUAUUAAAGUGUUUUUUCCGAGGUAAGUUGUAUUCUUAUCUUACGCUAUAUUUAUGUAUUAAAGUCGACAUGUAUUUCAC